GCGGUGGGGCAGCUGACGGCUCGGAGUGUGCGGGGAUGGGGACAGGGAGGGUGAGGGGACGCGGAAGCUGCUCUGGGGGCUGGUUGAGGAGCGUGAAGCCGGCCGAGGCAUGUGGGGUUUACUGAGCUGCGAGAGGAUGUCGGGGGGCUCAGGGGAUCUAGGAUGGGUACGGGCAGAGGAAGUGGGGACUGAAGAGCUGCAGGGACCUGGUGGGGAGGGUACAGGGAAGGAGAUAGGAAGAGAGUGUAAACAUGUGGCGUGAGGGAAGGGAGGGACCCAAACAGGCCUCUGGAGCCUUGGAGAGACACUGACUGCAGCAGCAUUUAUAGGUGCUGAUGGCAUUUUUAUAUUGAUUUCUCUCUUCCUGUGAAGAAAGAAGCAUCUAUGGGGAAUAUGCACCUAGGAGAAUGUUUUAGUGGUUUUCCUUUAAGAGGAGAAGCUACUUUGUUUCUGUUAAGGAAGUAGCAAAAACUAAGUUGCUUCAUGCUCUAAUUUUUGAACACUGCCUAGAUGAGCUGUGCAUGUGCCUUAGGUUCACCAAAGAAUUUUUAAAAGACUUGCAAAGUCAGGUCCUGGCAGUGGAUACUGAACAACUCCAGUGCUGCUGUUAAUGUUGAUGAAAUUGUAUGGAGCAACACCAAAGCAUCCUGAGGGUGUAUGUGGCACAUGACUCUGUAGAAAUCACAAGUGAAUAUUUUUAGAGCAAGAAAUAUCACAAAUGAGUAUUAACUGGCUGCUAAGGACAGGAGGUUUCAAAGGAGUCAAAUCCAAGUUGGCAUCCUGCAGUCAUCUUCAGGAUCACAAAAAAUCUGCCAGGUGAAGGAGGAUAUUGGAGAUUUUUAUCUUCUGAAGCAGAGCUAAAGUGGAGGGAAAAUGAGAUGCCUGGUUCAGUGGAUUAAAUGUUAGAAGAUAUCUCUUAAUCUGGAAAGAGCAGAGUGGGG